GUGGAUUAGAUACCCUAGUAGUCCACGCCGUAAACGAUGGGCACUAGGUGUGGGAGGUGUCGACUCCUUCCGUGCCGUAGCUAACGCAUUAAGUGCCCCGCCUGGGGAGUACGGCCGCAAGGCUAAAACUCAAAGGAAUUGACGGGGGCCCGCACAAGCAGCGGAGCAUGUGGUUUAAUUCGACGCAACGCGAAGAACCUUACCUGGGUUUGACAUGUCGGUCGCACCCGUGGAAACACGGGGUCAUUUAGUUGGACCGUCACAGGUGGUGCACGGUUGUCGUCAACU
rnacentral:rRNA from 1 species